GUUGAGGAGUUUGCAGCAGGAGAUUGUUGCUCUGAUGUGGGUCUCGGUGACGGCGGCGACGAUGGCUUCCGGUUUUCUGUUUGAGGCGGAGGCGAACCGGAGGUUUCUGACGGCGCUCAUCAGGUUUGCGGAGAAGGAUGAGUUUGUGGGGAUCACGGCGGUUGCGGAGUUAGGACUGCCGUGGUCGGCCGGCUGAGUGUCGAGACAUUGAAGGAAAUGGUGGGGAACGGUUAACGACGGUGAUGAUGAGGAGACUCGUGGGAUUGUGAUAAGAUAGAUGAGAUAGAGUAUGGAGAUAAACGUUGGUCCUGACAAGAU
rnacentral:lncRNA from 1 species